rnacentral:rRNA from 1 species
GACGAACGCUGGCGGCGUGCUUAACACAUGCAAGUCGAGCGGUAAGGCCCUUUCGGGGGUACACGAGCGGCGAACGGGUGAGUAACACGUGGGUGACCUGCCCUCAGCUCUGGGAUAAGCCUGGGAAACCGGGUCUAAUACCGGAUAUGACUCCAUGACGCAUGUUGUGGGGUGGAAAGCCUUGUGCGGCUGAGGAUGGGCCCGCGGCCUAUCAGCUUGUUGGUGGGGUGAGGCCUACCAAGGCGACGACGGGUAGCCGGCCUGAGAGGGUGACCGGCCACACUGGGACUGAGACACGGCCCAGACUCCUACGGGAGGCAGCAGUGGGGAAUCUUGGACAAUGGGCGCAAGCCUGAUCCAGCCAUCGCCGCGUGAGUGACGAAGGCCUUAGGGUUGU